ACCAGACUCCUACGGGAGGCAGCAGUGGGGAAUAUUGCACAAUGGGGGAAACCCUGAUGCAGCGACGCCGCGUGAGUGAAGAAGUAUUUCGGUAUGUAAAGCUCUAUCAGCAGGGAAGAUAAUGACGGUACCUGACUAAGAAGCCCCGGCUAACUACGUGCCAGCAGCCGCGGUAAUACGUAGGGGGCAAGCGUUAUCCGGAUUUACUGGGUGUAAAGGGUGCGCAGGUGGCAGGGCAAGUCAGAUGUGAAAGCCCGGGGCUCAACCCCGGUAUUGCAUUUGAAACUGUCCGGCUAGAGUGCAGGAGAGGUAAGCGGAAUUCCUAGUGUAGCGGUGAAAUGCGUAGAUAUUAGGAGGAACACCAGUGGCGAAGGCGGCUUACUGGACUGUAACUGACACUGAGGCACGAAAGCGUGGGGAGCAAACAGGAUUAGAUACCCGUGUAC
rnacentral:rRNA from 1 species